UACAGAGGGUGCGAGCGUUAAUCGGAUUUACUGGGCGUAAAGAGCGCGCAGGCGGUCGAUCAAGUCGAGUGUGAAAGCCCCCGGCUCAACUGGGGAGGGUCAUUCGAUACUGAUCGACUCGAAGGCAGGAGAGGGUAGUGGAAUUCCCGGUGUAGUGGUGAAAUGCGUAGAUAUCGGGAGGAACACCAGUGGCGAAGGCGACUACCUGGCCUGUUCUUGACGCUGAGGCGCGAAAGCUAGGGGAGCAAACGGGG
rnacentral:rRNA from 1 species